AGAGUUUGAUCAUGGCUCAGGAUGAACGCUAGCGGCAGGCUUAACACAUGCAAGUCGAGGGGCAGCACGAUGUAGCAAUACAUUGGUGGCGACCGGCGCACGGGUGCGUAACACGUAUGGAACUUGCCCUUUACUGGGAGAUAGCCCUCCGAAAGGAGGAUUAAUAUCCCAUAAUAAACGAGGUGGCAUCACCUUGUUUUGAAAGCUCCGGCGGUAAAGGAUGGCCAUGCGCACGAUUAGCUAGUUGGUGAGGUAAUGGCUCACCAAGGCGACGAUCGUUAGGGGGCCUGAGAGGGUUAUCCCCCACACUGGUACUGAGACACGGACCAGACUCCUACGGGAGGCAGCAGUGAGGAAUAUUGCGCAGUGGAGGAAACUCUGACGCAGCCAUGCCGCGUGCAGGAAGAAGGCGCUACGCGUUGUAAACUGCUUUUAACCGGGAAGAAACCCCUUUACGUGUAAAGGGUUGACGGUACCGGAGGAAUAAGCACCGGCUAACUUCGUGCCAGCAGCCGCGGUAAUACGAAGGGUGCAAGCGUUAUCCGGAUUCAUUGGGUUUAAAGGGUGCGUAGGUGGGGCGUUAAGUCAGUGGUGAAAUCCUGCAGCUCAACUGUAGACUUGCCAUUGAUACUGGCGCUCUUGAGUGCGCUUGAAGUAGGCGGAAUGUGCCGUGUAGCGGUGAAAUGCUUAGAUAUGGCACAGAACACCAAUUGCGAAGGCAGCUUACUAAGGCGAUACUGACACUGAGGCACGAAAGCGUGGGGAUCGAACAGGAUUAGAUACCCUGGUAGUCC
rnacentral:rRNA from 1 species